GAUCAUGGCUCAGGAUGAACGCUAAAAGCUACAGGCUUAACACAUGCAAGUCGAGGGGCAGCAUGGUCUUAGCUUGCUAAGACUGAUGGCGACCGGCGCACGGGUGAGUAACACGUAUCCAACCUGCCGUCUACUCUUGGACAGCCUUCUGAAAGGAAGAUUAAUACAAGAUGGCAUCAUGAGUCCGCAUGUUCACAUGAUUAAAGGUAUUCCGGUAGACGA
rnacentral:rRNA from 1 species